rnacentral:rRNA from 1 species
GACGAACGCUGGCGGCGUGCUUAACACAUGCAAGUCGAACGGAAAGGCCCUGCUCUUGUGGGGUGCUCGAGUGGCGCACGGGUGAGUAACACGUGAGUAACCUGCCCUUGACUUUGGGGUAACUUCAGGGAACUGGGGCUAAUACCGGAUAUGAGCUCCUGCUGCAUGGUGUGGGAUGGAAAGUUUCGGCGGUUGGGGAUGGACUGGCGGCUUAUCAGCUUGUUGGGGUGGUAGUGGCUUACCAAGGCUUUGACGGGUAGCCGGCCUGAGAGGGUGAGCGGCCACCUUGGGACUGAGGUACGGCCCAGACUGCUACGGGACGGAGCAGUGGGGAAUAUUACGGAAUGAGGCGAAGUCAGAUGCAGAAGCGUUCCGAGCGGGAUGCCGGCUUUUGGGUUGUAAACCGCUUUCGCAUGAGACGAAGCGUGAGUGACGGUAAUGGGUAAAGAAGCACCGGCUAACUACGUG